GAAGCCCGCCAGACCACCGCUGGUGCAAUUUGGGAAACCAAGCACUGGAGGAACGUCCGGACUGCAUAGGGCAGCGUAGCAGCUAACGGCUGUCCACCGACAAGUCCUCCACGCAAGUGGGAGACCCUAAGGUGAGGAUUAGAGCAACAGAGACGAGUCGCUGGGACAAGCUUUCGGGCGAAGCCCAUCGGGUGAAACGGGCAAUCUCUACGCGCAGCAAUACCAAGUAGGCACACGUUGACGGGGCCCCCGGAGUGUGCGGGUAGGUAGCAUCGAGCCGAACGGGCAACCGCCGGCCCAGAUUAAUGGUGGUCACAUGGGGGGAAACCCCCAUGCACAGAAUCCGGCUUAUCGGUGGGCUUCACAC
rnacentral:RNase_P_RNA from 1 species